GACGAACGCUGGCGGCGUGCUUAACACAUGCAAGUCGAACGGAAAGGCCCUGCGUUUGUGGGGUGCUCGAGUGGCGAACGGGUGAGUAACACGUGAGUAACCUGCCCUUGACUUUGGGAUAACUUCAGGAAACUGGGGCUAAUACCGGAUAGGAGCUCCUGCUGCAUGGUGGGGGUUGGAAAGUUUCGGCCGUAGGGGAUGGACGCGCGGGUUAUCAGCUUGUUGGUGGGGUAGUGGCUUACCAAGGCUUUGACGGGUAGCCGGCCUGAGAGGGUGACCGGCGACAAUGCGACUGAGAGACGGCCCAGACUCCUACGGGAGGCAGCAGUGGGGAAUCUUGCACAAUGGGCCGAAGCCUGAGGCAGCAACGCCGCGUGCGGGAUGACGGCCUGCGGGGUAUAAACCGCUUUCGCCUGUGACGAAGCGUGAGUGACGGUAAUGGGUAAAGAAGCACCGGCUAACUACGUG
rnacentral:rRNA from 1 species